rnacentral:rRNA from 1 species
ACGCUCGACACCUACUGGAGGCAGCAGUGGGGAAUAUUGCACAAUGGGGGAAACCCUGAUGCAGCAACGCCGCGUGAGUGAAGAAGUAUUUCGGUAUGUAAAGCUCUAUCAGCAGGGAAGAUAAUGACGGUACCUGACUAAGAAGCUCCGGCUAAAUACGUGCCAGCAGCCGCGGUAAUCUGAGCGGGCUGGCAAGGC